rnacentral:tRNA from 1 species
UGGCUUAGAGGGUAAAGCGUCUGCCUGCAAUGCAGGAGACCUAGGUUCAAUCCCUGG